rnacentral:rRNA from 1 species
AUGAAGUUUUCGGAUGGAUUCCUGGUUGACUGAGUGGCGGACGGGUGAGUAACGCGUGGAUAACCUGCCUCACACUGGGGGAUAACAGUUAGAAAUGGCUGCUAAUACCGCAUAAGCGCACAGUACCGCAUGGUACGGUGUGAAAAACCCAGGUGGUGUGAGAUGGAUCCGCGUCUGAUUAGCCAGUUGGCGGGGUAACGGCCCACCAAAGCGACGAUCAGUAGCCGACCUGAGAGGGUGACCGGCCACAUUGGGACUGAGACACGGCCCAAACUCCUACGGGAGGCAGCAGUGGGGAAUAUUGCACAAUGGGCGAAAGCCUGAUGCAGCGACGCCGCGUGAGUGAAGAAGUAUCUCGGUAUGUAAAGCUCUAUCAGCAGGGAAGAAAAUGACGGUACCUGACUAAGAAGCCCCGGCUAACUACGUGCCAGCAGCCGCGGUAAUACGUAGGGGGCAAGCGUUAUCCGGAUUUACUGGGUGUAAAGGGAGCGUAGACGGCGACGCAAGUCUGGAGUGAAAGCCCGGGGCCCAACCCCGGGACUGCUUUGGAAACUGUGCUGCUGGAGUGCAGGAGAGGUAAGUGGAAUUCCUAGUGUAGCGGUGAAAUGCGUAGAUAUUAGGAGGAACACCAGUGGCGAAGGCGGCUUACUGGACUGUAACUGAC